CCUACGGUGGACAGCAGUGAGGAAUAUUGGUCAAUGGUCGAGAGCCUGAACCAGCCAAGUCGCGUGAGGGAGUACUGCCCUAUGGGUUGUAAACCUCUUUUGUCGGGGAGCAAAAGCCGUACGUGUCCGGCUGUGAGAGUACCCUAAUAACAAGCCUCGGCUAACUUCGUGCCAUCAGCCGGCGUACUACGGAGGAUGCGAGCGUUAUCCGGAUUUAUUGGGUUUACGGGGUGCGCAGUCGGAUUUUUACGUCAGCGGUCAAAUCGUGGGGCUAAACCCCAUCCAGCCGUUGAAACUGGUGAUCUAGAGUGUGCGGGAGGUAUGCGGAAGGCGUGGUGUAGCGGUGAAAUGCAUAGAGAUCACGCAGAACCCCGAUUGCGAAGGCAGCAUACCGGUGCACAACUGACGCUCAGGCACGAAAGCGUGGGUAUCGAACAGGAUUAGAUACCCCUGUAGUC
rnacentral:rRNA from 1 species